CGCGUAGGUGGUUUGGUCAGUCAGAUGUGAAAGCCCCGGGCUCAACCUGGGAACUGCACCUGAUACUGCCAAACUAGAGUACGGUAGAGAGUAGUGGAAUUUCCGGUGUAGCGGUGAAAUGCGUAGAGAUCGGAAGGAACACCAGUGGCGAAGGCGACUACCUGGACCGAUACUGACACUGAGGUGCGAAAGCGUGGGUAGCAAACA
rnacentral:rRNA from 1 species